rnacentral:rRNA from 1 species
AUUGAACGCUGGCGGAAUGCUUUACACAUGCAAGUCGAACGGCAGCACGGACUUCGGUCUGGUGGCGAGUGGCGAACGGGUGAGUAAUAUAUCGGAACGUAUCCAAUAAUGGGGGAUAACUAGUCGAAAGAUUGGCUAAUACCGCAUACGCCCUACGGGGGAAAGCAGGGGAUCUUCGGACCUUGCGUUAAUGGAGCGGCCGAUAUCUGAUUAGCUAGUUGGUGGGGUAAAGGCCCACCAAGGCGACGAUCAGUAGCUGGUCUGAGAGGACGACCAGCCACACUGGAACUGAGACACGGUCCAGACUCCUACGGGAGGCAGCAGGGGGAAUUUUGGACAAUGGGCGCAAGCCUGAUCCAGCCAUUCCGCGUGAGUGAAGAAGGCCUUCGGGUUGUAAAGCUCUUUCGCAAGGGAAGAAAACUUAGCCACUAACAUUGGCUGAGGUUGACGGUACCUUGAUAAGAAGCACCGGCUAACUACGUGCCAGCAGCCGCGGUAAAAC